CCUACGGGAGGCAGCAGUGGGGAAUAUUGCACAAUGGGGGAAACCCUGAUGCAGCGACGCCGCGUGAGGGAAGAAGUAAUUCGGUAUGUAAAGCUCUAUCAGCAGGGAAGAAAAUGACGGUACCUGAGUAAGAAGCCGCGGCUCACUACGUGCCAGCAGCCGCGGUAAUUCGGAGGGGGCAAGGGUUAUCCGGAUUUACUGGGUGUAAAGGGAACGUAGACGGCCGGGCCAGUGUGGAGUGCAAGGCGGGGGCUCCACCCCCGGGCGGCUCUUGAAACUGUCCGGCUGGAGUGCAGGAGAGGUAAGUGGAAUUCCUAGUGUAGCGGUGAAAUGCGUAGAUAUCAGGCGGAACCCCAGUUGCGAAGGCGGCUUACUGGACUGUAACUGACGCUGAGGCUCGAAAGCGUGGGGAGCAAACAGGAUUAGAUACCCGAGUCGUC
rnacentral:rRNA from 1 species